AUUGAACGCUGGCGGCAGGCCUAACACAUGCAAGUCGGGCGAGAGGCGGACGGAAGAGCAAGGUAUGGGGAUGUGCGUGAUGGAGGGGGAUAAGUACUGGAAGCGGUAGCUAAAUCCGCAUACUAUCGGAUGAACCCAAAUGGGAUUAGCUAGUAGGUGGGGCAAAGGCCCACCUAGGCGACGAACUGUAGCUGGUCUGAGAGGAUGAUCAGCCAAACUGGGACUGAGACACGGCCCAGACUCCUACGGGAGGCAGCAGUGGGGAAUAUUGCACAAUGGGCGCAAGCCUGAUGCAGCCAUGCCGCGUGUAUGAAGAAGGCCUUCGGAUUGUAAAGUACUUUCAGCUGGGAGGCGUUACCCGCAGAAGAAGCACCGGCUAACUCCGUGCCAGCCGCCGCGGUAAUAC
rnacentral:rRNA from 1 species